rnacentral:rRNA from 1 species
UACGGAGGGUGCGAGCGUUGUCCGGAAUCACUGGGCGUAAAGGGCGCGUAGGUGGCGCGACAAGUCAACGGUGAAAGCUCGGCGCUCAACGCCGAGUCGGCCGUCGAUACUGUUGGGCUUGAGCACUGUAGAGGCUAAUGGAAUUCCGGGUGUAGCGGUGGAAUGCGUAGAGAUCCGGAGGAACACCAAAGGCGAAGGCAGUGUCCUGGGGAGUACCUGACGCUCAGGUGCGAAAGCCAGGGGAGCGAACGGG